CCGUGUUUCAUAUCGGAGGCAAUAAUCUUUUCUCUUUGCCUUCCUAAAGACAUUCCCAAUUCUCCCAAUUGGGAACCGUAUGAUCUCACUUGCUCACUGAAGAUGAGAAGAUUCUCAUCAACAAGAAACAAUGUAUUGUUUACAAAAUCAUAAGCAGGCUAACACUUUUUCAGAUCUGAAUCUUUAUUAUCUAAAAUUGAGGGAUUUCUACUUGGAAAAGAUUCACAAUUUCCCGGCAGCUAUCAUAUUUUAUCUUCUCCAACCAAAAUCCAACUCGAGGGCGAUCGAAUUCAUGCGUCUGUUGGUCGGUCUCUUAUACGUAUGUUCAAACAAAAAAUAAAGGAAUUGGGUUUGUACUUUAUGAAGAACUUUGUGGUUGGACCAAAUAUUAUGAAACUUAAAUACACGCGACAUAAAUUAAAGUUGGCAUUUACUCAUAAGACGAUUGUAGAGGAAUCAAAUGAUCAUCUUUUUGGUAUGAGUGUCUUCGACUUAAGACCUUAUGAGUAUUUGAUAAACAAAAUUGAUGUUGAAGAAAGUGAACUCUUCGAUGUCAUUGGAGAGGUUGUAAGUUAUGGUGAAGUAGAAUGACAUAACCAAGGUGAUAAGACCAACACUUUUAUGAAUGUGGAACUUGAAGAUCAUGAGAGGAAUAAUAUCUCGGCAACAUUUUGGGGAGAAUUCGUAGACCAGAUCUUGCCACAUUUAGAGGGAUCACCCCAUCAGCCUGUGAUGACCUAAAGGGUCAUCUUUUGUUUUAGAAUCCGAUUCCAUGUUUCGAGGCCUUGAAAAUCUUAUUUUAUCUCUCCUCGAUUUGCGUGCGCAUUCCGGGCAUUUAUCCGUAAAGCCUUUGUGUGAAACAUUUAAAAAAUGAUGAUUUUGGCUUAAAAAGA